rnacentral:rRNA from 1 species
GACGAACGCUGGCGGCGUGCUUAACACAUGCAAGUCGAACGGAAAGGCCCUGCUUUUGUGGGGUGCUCGAGUGGCGAACGGGUGAGUGACACGUGAGUAACCUGCCCUUGACUUUGGGAUAACUUCAGGAAACUGGGGCUAAUACCGGAUAGGAGCUCCUGCUGCAUGGUGGGGGUUGGAAAGUUUCGGCGGUUGGGGAUGGACUCGCGGCUUAUCAGCUUGUUGGUGGGGUAGUGGCUUACCAAGGCUUUGACGGGUAGCCGGCCUGAGAGGGUGACCGGCCACAUUGGGACUGAGAUACGGCCCAGACUCCUACGGGAGGCAGCAGCGGGGAAUAUUGCACAAUGGGCGGAAGCCUGAUGCAGCAACGCCGCGUGCGGGAUGACGGCCUUCGGGUUGUAAACCGCUUUCGCCUGUGACGAAGCGUGAGUGACGGUAAUGGGUAAAGAAGCACCGGCUAACUACGUG